rnacentral:rRNA from 1 species
AUUGAACGCUGGCGGCAGGCCUAACACAUGCAAGUCGAGCGAGCGGCGGACGGGUGAGUAAUGUAUGGGGACUGCCCGAUAGAGGGGGAUAACUACUGGAAACGGUAGCUAAUACAGCAUACUAUCGGAUAACCCAUAUGGGAUGAGCUCGUAGGUGAGGUAAUGGCUCACCUAGGCGACGAUCCCUAGCUGUGCUGAGAGGAUGAUCAGCCACAUUGGAACUGAGACACGGCCCAGACUCCUACGGAGGCAGCAGUGGGGAAUAUUGCACAAUGGGCGCAAGCCUGAUGCAGCCAUGCCGCGUUUAUGAAGAAGGCCUUCGGGUUGUAAAGUACUUUCAGUCGGGAGGCGUUACCGACAGAAGAAGCACCGGCUAACUCCGUGCCAGCCGCCGCGGUAAUUC